rnacentral:tRNA from 1 species
UGCGGCGUGGAGCAGCGACAGCUCGUCUGGCUCAUAACCAGAAGGGUCGAGGGUUUGAGUCCCUCCGCCGCCACCA